GGCCGUACGCUUGGCAGCCACAAUAUAGAUACCUUAUAAAGGGGAAGACACAUACGAACAUAUGUAGAACAUAUAUAUAAUGUCCAAAGUGCAACCGGCUGGACGCGCGGGGGGGAUAGCAUCAGAUAAGACACCAACGGGUCCAAAGUACAGAUCUCUUAGGCGAGAUCACCUCUUAUCUGGACUGCUAAAGCAUAGGGAUAUCCUAAAGGAUGCACAUAGUUACCUUUGGUUGCGGCAGACAUUUUGUAAGUGCUUCACUCUUAAAUCAAACAACAAA